UACAGAGGUCCCAAGCGUUGUUCGGAUUCAUUGGGCGUAAAGGGUGUGUAGGUGGCGCCGUAAGUCGGGUGUGAAAUCUCGGGGCUUAACUCCGAAACUGCAUUCGAUACUGCGGUGCUUGAGGACUGGAGAGGAGACUGGAAUUCAUGGUGUAGCAGUGAAAUGCGUAGAGAUCAUGAGGAACACCGGUGGCGAAGGCGGGUCUCUGGGCCGAUACUGACGCUGAGGAGCGAAAGCGUGGGGAGCAAACAGG
rnacentral:rRNA from 1 species